UACGAGGGGGGCAAGCGUUGUUCGGAAUUACUGGGCGUAAAGGGCUCGUAGGUGGCCAACUAAGUCAGACGUGAAAUCCCUCAGCUUAACUGGGGAACUGCGUCUGAUACUGGAUGGCUUGAGUUUGGGAGAGGGAUGCGGAAUUCCAGGUGUAGCGGUGAAAUGCGUAGAUAUCUGGAGGAACACCGGUGGCGAAGGCGGCAUCCUGGACCAACACUGACACUGAUGAGCGAAAGCCAGGGGAGCAAACGGG
rnacentral:rRNA from 1 species